rnacentral:rRNA from 1 species
CACAUCGAUCCUAGCCAGGCGAUUAAAGCGGGAAGAGCUCAAUUUGCAAGUCGGGGUUAAUUCUGUCGUCCGAGUUGUAAUCUAUAGAAGUGUUUUCCGCUCCGGACCAUGUACAAGUCCCUUGGAACAGGGCGUCAUAGAGGGUGAGAAUCCCGUCCUUGACAUGAUCUCCGGCUGCUAUGUGAUACACUUUCAACGAGUCGAGUUGGUUUGGGGAAAUUGCAGCUCAAAUGGGUGGUGAAUUCCAUCUAAAGCUAAAUAUUGGCGAGAGACCGAUAGCGAACAAGUACCGUGAGGGAAAGAUGAAAAGCACUUUGGAAAGAGAGUUAAACAGUACGUGAAAUUGUUGAAAGGGAAACGAUUGAAGUCAGUCAUGCUCUUUGGGUUAAGCCGUUCGCGGUGUAUUCCAUUGAGUGGGGUCAACCAUCAAGUUUUUGACCGCUGGAAAAAGGCACGAGGAACGUAGCACUCUUCGGGUGAACUUAUAGCCUCGCGUUCAUUAUACAGAUGGUUGAGGAACUGAGGAAACGCAAGCAUUGCCUUUAUUGGCCCGGGGAUUCCGUCCCACGUACAAUGCUUAGGAUGUUGACAUAACUGGCUUUU